rnacentral:rRNA from 1 species
UACGAAGGGGGCUAGCGUUGCUCGGAAUCACUGGGCGUAAAGGGUGCGUAGGCGGGUCUUUAAGUCAGAGGUGAAAUCCUGGAGCUCAACUCCAGAACUGCCUUUGAUACUGAGGAUCUUGAGUUCGGGAGAGGUGAGUGGAACUGCGAGUGUAGAGGUGAAAUUCGUAGAUAUUCGCAAGAACACCAGUGGCGAAGGCGGCUCACUGGCCCGUAACUGACGCUGAGGCACGAAAGCGUGGGGAGCAAACAGG